AGGAUGGUAGAACGCUGCGGCUGCUUACACCAUGCAGUUGAACGGGUUUAAGUUUAUUAAACUUAAACAAGUAGCGGACGGGUGAGUAACGCGUAAGAACCUACCUUUAGGUAAGGAAUAACUAUUGGAAACGAUAGAUAAUACCUUAUAAGCUUAUAGUAAAAGAUAAAAUCGCCUAAGGAUGGGCUUGCGUCUGAUUAGCUUGUUGGUGAUUUAAAAGAUUCACCAAGGCAACGAUCAGUAGUUGGUCUAAGAGGAUGAUCAACCACACUGGGACUGAGACACGGCCCAGACCUCUACGGAGGGCAGCGGUGAGGAAUUUUCCGCAAUGGGCGAAAGCCUGACGGAGCAAUGCCGCGUGGAGGAUGAAAGCUUGUGAGUCGUAAACUCCUUUUCUUAGUGAGGAAAUAAGACGGUAUCUAAGGAAUAAGCAUCGGCUAACUCCGUGCCAGCAGCCGCGGUAAUACGGAGGAUGCAAGCGUUAUUCGGAAUUAUUGGGCGUAAAGCGUCUGUAGGUGGUUUUAUAAGUCUACUGUUAAAUAUUAAGGCUUAACCUUAAUAAAGCGGUAUGAAACUAAAAAACUUGAGUUUAGUAAAGGUAGAGGGAAUUCUCGGUGUAGUGGUGAAAUGCGUAAAGAUCGAGAAGAACACCGGUUGCGAAAGCGCUCUACUGGGCUAAAACUGAAACUGAAAGACAAAAGUAAGGGAGCAAAUAGGAUUAGAUACCUAGUAUCCUACUGGUAAGAUGGAUCUAGUUUGGCU
rnacentral:rRNA from 1 species